rnacentral:piRNA from 1 species
UGUAGUUCUUUGAGAACACUGGGG